UGCACUGAAACGUCUGCGAAUUUAGAUAUGGUAAAAUAUCGGAGCUCAGUAAUCUUGCUAGUUUCUGUGACAGCCAUGUUUCUCAUAUUAAUAAUGCAAGAUGUAAAUCACUGGUGUGCGCUUGGAGUCGUGCAUGGUCAGGCAAACGGACCAAAGCAUCGGCGCCACCAACGUUCCCGACCAACAGGUAAUAUACCUUCAACACCACCAACACGCAGACCACUUCGUCCCAUGCCUAAUUACACUAUUCUGUGGACGGGUUGGUCAUCUGCCCGUGCUAUUGGGGCAUGUAUGCAAAAACAACCUAGACUAAGAAGAGACCCACGUCCUGUUACCCCAUCCACUACAACUACAAGGGCUGCUGCCCCGGCGUGGGCUGGAGGCAGAAGAAGUGCAAUCCAGUAGAUGACCUUCCUCUGAUGCCAAGUGACAAGGUUAUGAAGGAUUUCAGCACUAAGCACAGAUCAUUAACGAAACAGAAGAAUAAAAUGCAUCAAAUCUUUC